GACGAACGCUGGCGGCGUACUUAACACAUGCAAGUCGAACGAGUGGCGCACGGGUGAGUAAUACGUGAGUAACUGCCUCUUUGAGGGGGAUAACUAUUGGAAACGAUAGCUAAUACCGCAUACUUGUAGAUGGACCUGCGUUGUAUUAGCUAGUAGGUAGGGUAAUGGCCUACCUAGGCAACGAUACAUAGCCGACCUGAGAGGGUGAUCGGCCACACUGGGAGUGAGACACGGCCCAGACGCCUACGGGAGGCAGCAGGAGGGAAUCUGCGGGAAUGGGGGGAACCCAGACCGAGCAACGCCGCGUGAGUGAAGAAGGUUUUCGGAUGGGAAAGCUCUGUUGUUAAGGAAGCGGUACUUAACCAGAAAGGAACGGCUAACUACGUGCCAGCAGCCGCGGUAAUUC
rnacentral:rRNA from 1 species